rnacentral:tRNA from 1 species
UAAAAUUUUAGAUUGUGAUUCUAAAUAUGAGAGUUAAAACCUCUCUACGACC